rnacentral:rRNA from 1 species
AUUGAACGCUGGCGGCAUGCUUUACACAUGCAAGUCGAACGGUAACAGGGUGCUUGCACCGCUGACGAGUGGCGAACGGGUGAGUAAUGCGUCGGAACGUGCCGAGUAGUGGGGGAUAACGCAGCGAAAGUUGUGCUAAUACCGCAUACGUACUGAGGUAGAAAGUGGGGGACCUUCGGGCCUCACGCUAUUCGAGCGGCCGACGUCUGAUUAGCUAGUAGGUGAGGUAAAGGCUCACCUAGGCGACGAUCAGUAGCGGGUCUGAGAGGAUGAUCCGCCACACUGGGACUGAGACACGGCCCAGACUCCUACGGGAGGCAGCAGUGGGGAAUUUUGGACAAUGGGCGAAAGCCUGAUCCAGCCAUGCCGCGUGUCUGAAGAAGGCCUUCGGGUUGUAAAGGACUUUUGUCAGGGAGGAAAUCCCUAGUGCUAAUAACACUGGGGGAUGACAGUACCUGAAGAAUAAGCACCGGCUAACUACGUGCCAGCCGCCGCCGUAAUAC